rnacentral:rRNA from 1 species
CUCGGAUCAGGUAGGGAUACCCGCUGAACUUAAGCAUAUCAAUAAGCGGAGGAAAAGAAACCAACCGGGAUUGCCUCAGUAACGGCGAGUGAGGGG